rnacentral:lncRNA from 1 species
AGUAAAAGGUAGACUUAAAAGUCAUAUUCAUAUUGUACAAGUAUUGGUGCUAGUGAAUUUGUUUUAGAUAUUCUUGAAAAUGGAUAUUUCAUUCCUUUCAUUUCUACUCCUCCCAGAACAGUUCAUAAAACAAUAAGUCAGCGUUAGACAAUGAACUUUUUGUUACGGAAGCGAUAUCAGAUCUUUUGAAUAAUAAAUGUGUAACUCAAGUUAAACUUAGGCCCCA